rnacentral:rRNA from 1 species
GAUGAACGCUAGCGGCGGGCCUAACACAUGCAAGUCGAGGGGUAACAUAGGAAAGCUUGCUUUUCUGAUGACGACCGGCGCACGGGUGCGUAACGCGUAUACAACCUACCUUUUAGCGGGGAAUAGCCCAGGGAAACUUGGAUUAAUGCCCCAUAGUAUAUAGACUUCUCCUGAAGUUUAUAUUAAACAUUUAUGGCUAUUAGAUGGGUAUGCGUCCUAUUAGUUAGUUGGUAAGGUAACGGCUUACCAAGGCAGCGAUAGGUAGGGGUCCUGAGAGGGAGAUCCCCACACUGGUACUGAGACACGGACCAGACUCCUACGGGAGGCAGCAGUGAGGAAUAUUGGACAAUGGGCGAGAGCCUGAUCCAGCCAUGCCGCGUGCAGGAAGACUGCCCUAUGGGUUGUAAACUGCUUUUACAGAGGAAGAACCACCCCCACGUGUGGGGGUUUGACGGUACUCUGCGAAUAAGGAUCGGCUAACUCCGUG